GACAGAGGGUGCGAGCGUUAAUCGGAAUUACUGGGCGUAAAGGGUGUGUAGGCGGUUAAAUAAGUUAGAUGUGAAAGCCCUGGGCUUAACCUAGGAAUAACAUUUUAUACUGUUUGACUGGAGUGCAGUAGAGGGGAGUGGAAUUUCCGGAGUAACGGUGAAAUGCGUAGAUAUCGGAAGGAACACCAGUGGCGAAGGCGACUCUCUGGACUGUUACUGACGCUGAGACACGAAAGCGUGGGGAGCAAACAGG
rnacentral:rRNA from 1 species